rnacentral:rRNA from 1 species
AGGACGAACGCUGGCGGCGUGCUUAACACAUGCAAGUCGAACGGUGAAGGAGAGCUUGCUCUCCGGAUCAGUGGCGAACGGGUGAGUAACACGUGAGUAACCUGCCCUUGACUCUGGGAUAAGCGUUGGAAACGACGUCUAAUACCGGAUACGAGCUUCAGCCGCAUGGCUAGGAGCUGGAAAGAAUUUCGGUCAAGGAUGGACUCGCGGCCUAUCAGCUAGUUGGUGAGGUAAUGGCUCACCGAAGGCGACGACGGGUA